UGAUAAGAGCUAAGUAUGCCGUGCACGGUGCACCGAUCACUAAUCAACUCCAAUUGUCCAAUAAUGAGAAGAGUAGGAUUAUUGUGCUGGUCGACUAUGGGGUGCUUGAUCGUCCAUGGACGUAAAGUAUCUCCUCUCAACUAUAUAUACAUCUACCAAAGUGUACUAUAUAAUAUAUAAUUUCAAACAACUUGCACAAAAAGAAAAAAAAAAAAAACUAAUGUCAAGCAAGACCAAGAAAAUGGAAAAGAAAUAUUUCGGGCUUAUGCUUUUGCUUCUCUUCUUAUUUGCUUCUGAGAUGAAUAUGGUGGUUGAGGUUGAUGGUGCCUUUUGCGGAAGAAAACCAAGCAGGUUCUUUGAAGGCCCUUGCAUUUUUGCUAAAGCGUCUUGUAAGAAUCAUUGUAAUAGAGAGAAUUGGUCUACAGGAGAGUGUACCUGGGACUUCAGAUGUGAAUGUCAAAUGCAUUGUUAAGCAAUGCGUGCUCCUAACCAAUGAAGUAUAUGGGGCAAAGGACAAUAAAAUGCAUACUUCUAACUGUAUCAUGGAUCAAUAAUAUAAAAUAUUGUAAUAUACAAUAAAUCGUUGUUUGCCUACUUUCUUUUUAUUGUUGUCUUUCUUAAUUUCUUAUAAAAUUGCCAUUGUGUUCGAAA